UUCCGAAAGUCAUUAAAAAAAUGUGACAAUCUUUAUGUCCGCGACUGUACAUCGGACGUCUUACAGGUCCGAUGUCCAAUAAGGGCAUCCUUGUUACGUCCAAUUUAUGUCCACGGACGUAAAUCGGACAUACGGACAUACAUUGGACGUAAAACGUACAUCCAUUGAAUGUCCAGUGCUGUCUGGGUGCAAAUGAAACAACCCGACUUCUUUAUAAUUAACCGCAAAAUAUUUAACCUGACGGUUUGUACACUCCAUCUUCAUAAGCUGCUGGCAGUUUCCUCAACAAGGGAGUGUCGACGGCUCCUAAUUCUGGCUUACCGACAUUAUUGUACCAUCCAUCGUAACCAGGAUACUCCUUCGCGGUGCGAUAUUGUGUGCAUAUAUUCGAUGGAAAAGGCUUUCCCGUUUGGGCACCC
rnacentral:misc_RNA from 1 species